rnacentral:snoRNA from 1 species
UCCCUCUCAGGGUCGCAACUGGAGAGUUUCCAGUCCUCUACCAGUCUCGGCUAUGGGAGGGGGAGCCAAGCAGAGGCAUUCCCAUUCCAGUCCUAGCUUGGGCAGUGGCUAGCGAGUGGAAGGCAAUCUGCUCACCC